rnacentral:rRNA from 1 species
UACGGAGGGUGCAAGCGUUGCUCGGAAUUACUGGGCGUAAAGCGCGUGUAGGCGGUUUCGUGGGUCUGAUGUGAAAUCCCCGGGCUCAACCCGGGAAGUGCAUUGGAAACUGCGAGACUAGAGUCCCGGAGAGGAAGGUGGAAUUCCCAGUGUAGCGGUGAAAUGCGUAGAUAUUGGGAGGAACACCAGUGGCGAAGGCGGCUCACUGGACCGGUACUGACGCUGAUGCGCGAAAGCGUGGGGAGCAAACGGG